rnacentral:lncRNA from 1 species
AUUUAUAUUGGCUUUGUUGAGUGUUGGGGAUCUGGGCUUUCCUUCUUUGGGUAAGCCUCAGGGAUCGGUCUCUGGUCGUGUAUGCCGUCAGAUUCGCAGAUCUCCCCUUCUCCAGUCGGUCGCUUGCUUGUUUUUCUGGUUCUGGUUUCGUCAGGUGAGUAGAUCUCUGGGUUGCGCUUAAUUGUAGGUCUUGGGGUGCAGAGAAAGGCAGAUGUGAGCAAGGUUGUGUAUCCGGCAGCGGUGGGUAGGUUUCCUCCAUCGAUGCAGCUGUGGCGGUGUUGAAUCAUUGGAGGGUCGAGUAGAACCAGUCUAGGGAUUACUUUUGGUAGAAGACGCCAUUAGUUCCCUUUGGUGUUCUCUCACGGCUCAAAGUUCCAAUGGCCGCUACGGUUUGCGGCGGAAGUCGGUGGUAGGAUUGGUUGGUUUUGCUGCUUGCUUGGGGUUAACAGUAGAUCCUUUUGGGUCUUAGAUGGCAGUUGCGGAGGUUCGAUCUUGAGAGUUUAGCUUGAGCAACUUUGGUCUCUUUGAUUGCCGCUUCUGUUUCCUCCGGCCAAAUUGUUUGCUCCUUGCUCGGAAAUAACAAGCAUCUACAGAUCUGGAAGUGGGGGUUAGCUCUGAGUAUGGCUUGGUUGCUAGGCAUGGGACCGCCAUCGUAGAGCCUGUUGUCUGUGGUUUGGACAGGUCGGGAGUUUUGUUCUAGGUCAGGUAAAUCUCGGAAGUGGAACCGGCGUCGGAUUUUGAAUGCUUCUGGCAAUGUCUACACUUCACGGUCUCUACCGCAAAGGAGUCAAACUCGCAUUCGCCGGAUUUACUGUUCAAGCCAUUGCCUCAGGUCUUCAGCAGGAGCAGAUCCCAUUUUCGGUGAUGGGCCUAGAUGUUUUGUUAUUUCCAUUUUGUAUCUGUUUUUUUUCUUUGUAUUUUCUCAAGACCUGGCCCAAUUUUUAAAUUGGGAUGACCCAUUAAUAAAAUUGGUAGUUAAAAAAUA